UACGUAGGGUGCGAGCGUUGUCCGGAAUUACUGGGUGUAAAGGGAGCGUAGGCGGGAGAUCAAGUUGAAUGUUAAAUCUACGGGCUCAACCCGUAGCUGCGUUCAAAACUGGUUUUCUUGAGUGGAGCAGAGGCAGGCGGAAUUCCUAGUGUAGCGGUGAAAUGCGUAGAUAUCAGGAGGAACACCAGUGGCGAAGGCGGCCUGCUGGGCUUUAACUGACGCUGAGGCUCGAAAGCGUGGGGAGCAAACAGG
rnacentral:rRNA from 1 species